GCCGGGUGUGGUGGCUCACACCUGUAAUCCCAGCACUUUGGGAGGCUGAGGCAGGUGGAUUGCUUGAGGUCAGGAGUUCGAGACCAGCCUGGCCAACAUGGCGAAACCCUGUCUCUA
rnacentral:SRP_RNA from 1 species